rnacentral:rRNA from 1 species
AGAUUGAACGCUGGCGACAUGCCUAACACAUGCAAGUCGAACGGGAGUAGCAAUACUCUGGUGGCGGACGGGUGAGGAAUACGUAGGAAUUUGCCCUUAAGUGGGGGAUAACCCGGGGAAACCCGGAUUAAUACCGCAUGACCUCGAAAGAGCAAAGUGGGGGAUCGCAAGACCUCACGCUUUUGGAGAAGCCUACGUCGGAUUAGCUAGUUGGUGAGGUAAUGGCUCACCAAGGCGACGAUCCGUAACUGGUCUGAGAGGAUGAUCAGUCACACCGGAACUGAGACACGGUCCGGACUCCUACGGGAGCAGCAGGUGGGGAAUAUUGGACAAGUGGGCG